rnacentral:rRNA from 1 species
UUUCGAAUCAUUCACAAUGGGCGAAAGCCUGAUGGUGCGACGCCGCGUGAGGGAUGAAGGUCUUCGGAUUGUAAACCUCUGUCACCGGGGAAGAAACGCUGCAAGUUAACAGCUUGCAGCCUGACUUAACCCGGAGAGGAAGCAGUGGCUAACUCUGUGCCAGCAGCCGCGGUAAUACAGAGACUGCAAGCGUUAUUCGGAUUCACUGGGCGUAAAGGGUGCGCAGGUGGCUGUGUGUGUGAGGCGUGAAAGCCUGGAGCUUAACUCCAGAAUUGCACCUCAAACUACACAGCUAGAGCAUUGGAGAGGGUAGCGGAAUUCACGGUGUAGCAGUGAAAUGCGUAGAUAUCGUGAGGAACACCAGAGGCGAAGGCGGCUACCUGGACAAUUGCUGACACUCAGGCACGAAAGCGUGGGGAGCAAAAGGGAUUAGAUACCCGGGUAGUCC